GGCGAACGCUAGCGGCGUGCCUAAUACAUGCAAGUUGAGCGCUGAAGGUUGGUACUUGUACCAACUGGAUGAGCAGCGAACGGGUGAGUAACGCGUGGGGAAUCUGCCUUUGAGCGGGGGACAACAUUUGGAAACGAAUGCUAAUACCGCAUAAAAACUUUAAACACAAGUUUUAAGUUUGAAAGAUGCAAUUGCAUCACUCAAAGAUGAUCCCGCGUUGUAUUAGCUAGUUGGUGAGGUAAAGGCUCACCAAGGCGAUGAUACAUAGCCGACCUGAGAGGGUGAUCGGCCACAUUGGGACUGAGACACGGCCCAAACUCCUACGGGAGGCAGCAGUAGGGAAUCUUCGGCAAUGGACGAAAGUCUGACCGAGCAACGCCGCGUGAGUGAAGAAGGUUUUCGGAUCGUAAAACUCUGUUGGUAGAGAAGAACGUUGGUGAGAGUGGAAAGCUCAUCAAGUGACGGUAACUACCCAGAAAGGGACGGCUAACUACGUG
rnacentral:rRNA from 1 species